rnacentral:lncRNA from 1 species
AUUACUGUAGUGUUCGCCAUAUCUCUUGCAAUCCGAUUCUCGUUUCUUCCGCGUUAUCUCUUCACCACGUAGGGACUAAGUUCAACGCCGCCCUGUCACGAGAUGGCUAGAACUGUGCAGUGUAAGCUAACGGAUCGGCGGCCUUUUUUUUUCAAGCGACGCUCACUCCGAUCGACCUCGCUAUCAAAUAUGCAUUUCAAUGAACUAAAUCUUUUUUUGGGGAAUUCAAAACCUGAGGUCAUGAUUUGCAAGUCAAUUUUAGUGCCGUAUUUGCAUGUGUCACGCUGUCUUGCGUUUUGGGGUGCAAUGUUGCGCAACUCCGGUGGGCACCGUUAUGCGUAUUUUAGCAUUAGAUAUCAUUUUAUCGGAAGUUGUUGACCAUAAAUAACAUUCUUCGAAUCUUUCAAAUUUAUUUUAUUUCCAAGGUGUUUAGGAAAUGCGGUAUUUUUUAUGUAUCGCAGCAAGAAACCCUUGCAUUUGGCUUGUAGCUAGCUGUGAAUAAAGAGCGAUUUCUGAAAGCUCGAUUUUUGCUGGAGAUAUCCUGGAACUGCCGGGCGCCGGGCUGGAAAUUUCUUCCGACCUCACUCGUCUCGAUUACCAAGGAAAAACGAAAAAAGGCCAAGUUACUCAGUAGAAUGACCUAGAAUGGGAUCUUAGAUUUUCAACUCAACUGCUUUAAAAGUAUUAGCGGGUUCAGAGUAAAGCUUAAGUCGUCUACAUGUACAACCACUUCUUUAAAAGCGUUCUCCCGCUAAAUUCGGGGGCAAAAUCACUAACUUGGGAUACUUCACAUUUGCCAAUAAAGUGACUAAGAUCAGGUCAAAAUUGGCACAGAAUACAUGUAGACCAAAAUGGAUCUGGGGCCCAGAGAGGCCGUAUCUUCCUCGGGCCACAACUGCAAUUUUUGUUGACUCCACAGAAUUCGUAUGGCAGGCCAUUAUCACUCAUGCCAGCAAUUUUUAUUUUGAUUAGCUGUGGUGUGUUUCUGAAAACUGAGAAUAAGAAACAGAGUUAGCGCCUGGAGGAAAUGUUCUCACGAGGUUGAAAGUCACCUACUCGCCACAGUCAUUGUUUAGUGCUGCCUUCUUUUGGAGAUGACAUGGAAACAAGCACGAUACAUUUUAAUGAUUACAUCCCUGUUAGAAUCAGGCUACCCUGUUUAUGACUGCAAGCUAUUUUCGACUUAAAUGAAGCCCCCAGUGCAAUAAGCCCACAUUUCUAUUGAAUUAUCCGACUAAUGUCUUGAAAAUAAAUCAGCCCUCCGGGAGACGGGAACGUAAUAUGGCUUUUAUCAAUCAAGGCAUCUUUUACAGUUGCCCCGUAAGAUCAAAUAGAUAUGGCACGAAAUCGUUCAAAUUUUUCAUAGAUGAAAGCAUUUGAUGACAAUGUCUUAAUCGUUAUUAGAGCCACUGCAUCUCGUAUUUCAACGUGUGUCUGCCCAGGUUGGAAUGCUUUCGUUUUGGAUUCAAACAAAGCUUUCGCCGCAUGUAGAUUGGUCUCGGGUUAAUCCUAAGUUUCCGACGAGCAGCGUCUUCCGUUAGCAUGAGAGUCCUCCCCUGGUGAACAGCAAUGUUUGCUGUUCUAGUGCGCCAUGGUUCUGAGAAAUAACCCAACGUAAUCUUUGUUUUCUACAGUUGAACCAGCCAGCUUUUCUCACUGCAAUUCUAACUAGCGCGAUUAAUUCGUUACUUCAAUUGUUGAUAACUAAUCUGUUAUUUUUCAACGGAAAAUCUGGAAUUUGGAAAUCAAUCUUGCGCUAAAGCCAACUGGCGAUCAUCCAGGCUUUACAUCUUUUUCACGAACUGUGUCACGCUACAUGCUUUGACGGGCAAACUUGACGUUCAAUCGAAGAUAAUCUCGAGAAAAAUAAUGGUUCAUGCAUGAAAGAAAAUAAAAAAAGAACUUUCAAAUCAUAAUGAAACAAAAAGAAACUGGAAUAAUGACGAAAGAAUUAAAAAUUGUGGGCUAUUGCUUACCUUAUUCUGUCGAAACUCCCGCAAGCACGAAAGACAAAAGGCCUGACCCUUUCUUGACAGCAGUGGUGGGCCCUGAAUCAAAGAGGGUGGAGCGCUCAGGGAAGCCACUGGUUCUGCUUUGUUGCAGGAACGUAGAUAAACGCCGAAAAUAUUUCUCCCCUCCCUCUUGAAAACAGCUACAGGCUUACCUCCACUCAACAUUUUAAAAUCAUGAUUCACAGCUGGAUUUCUACUAUCAGGUUUAUUGUUACUUAUUUUUAUGUGAGCCUAAAUCCCGAUUUUUCCAACCUCCAAGGGAAACGAACAUUGUUUCGAAAAAUCGGAUAGUUCAAGAAAUGGGAGGUAAAAUUACAGUGUUCGACUGAGGAGAGGAAAUGACGUUUGGUUCGAGUUAUCGAGACGCUGGAAAAAAUCAGGGUUCGACGGAAAUCGGGAUUCCACUGUACCAGGAGCCCAUGGGUGAUUGGCUCCUGACUGUACUUAAUAGUAUGGGAAUUACCGAUGGCGCCGCGAAUGUUUGUGCUGUGUUUCUCUCUGUUAUCACUCCGCAUUUCUUGAACAGGCAAAGAAAUUUCGAAGUGUCUAAAUGACCGCAGUAGGAAUGAGCAAAAAACUCAUAAGAUGCGUGACAUUUGAUAAAUUAGAUAUAAGGCUCAAAAGGCAUUUAAAAGUGUCAAAUAUUCUCUAGAAAUCUAAAACAGAAAUUUUGUGCCGAAGCUGCCGCUGGUCUUGCACUCGGAGGUAAACGAACAGUGAACAGUUUUCAACCAGGAGUUUCAAUAGUGUAAUUCGUCGAUCCAUUGCGAUCAUAGUCUUGACUCUUGGGAAAGAUUGUUGUUUGUUUGUUUGUUUGUUUGUUUGUUUGUUUGACGUUUCCUCAAUCUUAGCGGAAGUCAUCUUAAUAGUCGAGUACACUGUUUAUCAGAUGAUAGUAUUGUAAGUCUAUGGGUAUUGCAAACAAAGUCUUUCUGUAAAGUGUGAUUUUGUCUUUCAGUCUUAAUCAAAGUCAGCUGAUGUCUCUUUCAAUAUGUCUUUUAUUAGUAAUCUUUGGUAUGUAUUUUCUUGCUUUGGGUAAAAGUUAGUUCUCUUUUUUUAAUCGUAAGGCUUAUAAGUUCAAUAGUUGUUUUAAUUAAUUUAUCGCUGUUUACUAGCAAUGUUUUAUACGUAUUUUAACACUGCAUGUGAACAAGUUUUAUAACGUAAGUCGUUGUGUAGUCGUUCCUCUACUGAAUCAAGUACUUUAAUAGAACACUUUGGUCCCAGAAAGCAAGAAAUCGCAUCCGUCUUUGCGAACCUACAAUUUCAAAAUGUUCCCCCAGAGGCUAAGCCAUCCGGGCCUCGCUUUUCCGGCACAACCUGUAAUGCUGUGUCGGGCGCCUGUGGAAAAAUCUAUUGAGAACCAUGUCGGCAUUAACUUCCUAGGGCAGAGCUUUCUAUUAGUUUCAGUUUAUCAAACAGACUUUCAUCGCAGACUUGUAAAUUUUCUUUAGACUUACUACCAUCAUCCUUUAGUGAAUUUAAUUUGAAAAUAUUGUGUGAUAAUGUAAAUCACCAAGUUUUGAGCGAUAUGGCCGGAUUCCAAAUACUCAUUACAGAAGCAGCCAUAUUGCCCCAGUUUAUCCAAUGCUUGUCAACUCCAGUCUCCAUGCUGUCUGUGGGAAAAUGACGGACAAGUAUUUAGUAACUGAGACUUCUACUUGAACUCCAGAUUGACAUUUUAUGUCUGUCUUCCAGAGAUUGGUUUAUGAGGGAAUAUACUCCUUUUGUCACGAAAUAAGCGAUGUGGCGACGAUGUCAUCGGACGUCGAUGGCGAUCAAGCUUUCGAGCAAUUCCCGGACUCAAUUGCGGAGACGUUGAACAGGCAAUGGAGUGAAAACCGGACUAGCGAUAAGCGGGAGAUUUUUAUAGUUAUUCUAGGAAGAUCAAAGCUGUUUUAAGCAUAUGAGCAGAAACCCAUUUCGGGCGGCAGGGAGAAACGAAUUUUUUUUUCGUCAUGUCUAAACCUGAUUUCGUUGUUGCAUAUUUCAAAGAAAUAAACACUGGGUAAAAAAAAUUCGUGUCAUAUACACUUUGAAAAAAUUCAAUGUUAGUGAUAACAAUUUUGAAUUACACUUUAAUAGGAUUACAACUCUUAAGCAGCCACGUGAAAUGUUCAUUUUUGGACUCCGUUAUUAUCGAUACAAAUAAUGGUAAUGAACUAGAUGGUACCAAAACGGAUGGCAGCCACUUACGAAAAUCGUUUAUCCGCAACUCGAGGAAUCGAGCAUUUGAUAAGUUGUAAAGUUUACGACAGGAGUCAUCAGAUGAGAAAAAAUGAUUUUCCUUCCACUACUGACACUGAGAGCGUAUUUUGGCAGGUUUGUCCUACGGAAGAUGUAAAGAUAAUGUCCAUAACAUUACUCAUUCAGCUUGGAAGUCUGGAACCAGGAAGCAAGAAGGCAGACAACAACUCCAUUGCAAACAGAGUAUUAUCCUGGCCUGGAGUUCUGCCCUGGUCCUUUCGUAACCGUGAUGGAAAAUCUGCAAAGCGAUGGCCUGUUAAAAUUAUACAACCAUGUUCUGCAAGAGACUCCUGUGCAACACAAACGAUGAGGUCCUCAGAGGAUGUGGAGUCACCCCUUGAAAAGUACCGUGAUCAAUUCAGCGAAAGAGCUAACAACAAUUUCGUUUCAAGGGAGCAUUUUAACAGAAUGCUUGGAGAAGUCCCACGACAAGGUUGGUCUUCAUAACAAAUAGCGUCCAAUUCAAGAUCAAGUAGCUGUGCAUAUUGAAUCCAGUUGGAAGCAAAAUUGUAUGGCUUUUAUCAGCGUUUUCAGCAGGAGAGCGACUGGUUUCCACAGAAUGAAACACGUCAAACUGAAAGGAGCCUAGAUUUUGAAGACAGGACAUGUUAUCAACAUGGAGAGUAUGAUUAGUAGUUUCUCAUUAGGUACAGAACAGAGAUGCAAAGGAAAAGAGCUAUGUGCUGAGACUC